GACGAACGCUGGCGGCGUGCUUAACACAUGCAAGUCGAACGAGAUCCAUGGAGUAGCAAUACUCCGGAAGAUCUAGUGGCGAACGGGUGAGUAACACGUGAGCAACCUGCCCCAAAGACUGGGAUAACCCCGGGAACCGGAACUAAUACCGGAUGUCCUCGUCGGAUCGCAUGGUCUGAUGAGGAAAUGAUUUCGCUUUGGGAGGGGCUCGCGGGAUAUCAGCNGUUGGUGGGGUAACGGCCUACCAAGGCUUCGACGUCUAGCUGGUCUGAGAGGACGAUCAGCCACACUGGGACUGAGACA
rnacentral:rRNA from 1 species